UGGCGUGUAGUUUAGGGGUAGAACGACGGACUGUUAAUCCGUAUGUCGCAGGUUCGAAUCCUGCCACGCCAGCCA
rnacentral:tRNA from 1 species